rnacentral:lncRNA from 1 species
UUUUGUAGCGCGGGGCCCGUGGGCAAGAGGCCCGGGAGACUGCGAUAGCAGAGGGGAAGUCGCCAAUGGCUACCUGGAUCGAGUCCCCUUUGUAUUUCGUUCACAUCACCCUUUUUUCUUCCACCGAGACACCGCAUCCUUUGGCUACCGUCGGUGGCGCGGUGGUGGGAGUGUAAGAGGAGGUCUGCUUCCGCUGCCACCAUUACCUGUUUCUUGGAUGGUUAAGCUUGAGUAAAGGAAACUUCUGGAAAGUGGCCAAAGACCCUUGACAUGCCCCCCGCAGAGGAAACAUCGCUGACGUCAUCUCUGCUUGUCCACUCUGUGCUUCAGUCAAGCCCAAGGCCAUCCCAGCGGCAAACUUUUGCUGCCCUCUCCCAGAAUGCCUGCUGAAACUGCCUCCUUGAGUCUGAAGGGGACCAGUGGAAACUUUGGGGGACAUAUUUUCGGGAGGCCAAGGCUCAAAUUGCCUGCCCAGGAACACAGUCAAGGAAGUGCUUUGGUCUAUUCUAGGCUUGUGGUCCAACACCAGAGACAGCUUCCUUGUAAACUCGAAGAGGUUGAUCAUGGGUCUAUUAUUUGCAUAGUGUAUCUUUGCAUCUGCAUUCACUUAAUAUCCAAAUGCUUAGAAAACUGCCAGCCAGUUUUGUGGCUCUAACAAGGCAGUGUCUUGUUCUUUGAAAGCCUCCGAGUAAAAACAGUUUAUAUGUGCUUUGGAAGUGCUUGUCUGAAAUCUAAAGUUAACCUCUGUUUGUAGUCACGUCUUCUGGAUUAGUUACAGUACCCUGAACACUGAGCAGAGGACAGAGGGAGUAGGGUUUUGUUUUUCUCAGUCUGGAAAAGCCCAUCCUUGCUCUGUCUGUAAGCAUAUCCUUCUGGGAGGAAAAUGUUAUCAGCAAUAUUCCGAUGACCUGGGAUGGGGCUGAGGAUCAGGAAGGGAGCCCAACAACCCGAGGAUCGUUUUUGUGUUUCUUUUGGUGUUAAAUUGCUGUCUUGUUGAUGGAGGAAGGUAAGAAGGGGUGGAGACCCGGCUCGGUGGAGUUGGGAGGAGCAUGGGCAGAGUCAUGUGGGCUUGGCUUCCUUUCCUUCGAUCUCGCUUACCCAGUGAGCUAGAGAGAAUUUGCAACCACCUUCAACUAGAGAACAAUCUGCAAGCCAAUCUGCCCUGGGCACUGCCUCCGGGAACUUACAC